GGCCUGUUAGCAUUCAACUCCUGCAUCCACGUAUCUUCAACGUGGCGUUCAGGUGAAGUUUCAGGCGAUGAGAUGGCUGGUGGUAAAGGAUGAAUUAGUUUUGGAACCACCACAAGAUCUCUUCCCAAAACUAAUAUAGCCCCUGCAUUAUUAGCAGUACCACAGUAAUUGGUAGCAGAGAAAAGCGUGAUUAGAUGUCCCUGGGCAAAACGCUCAAAGCCAUCCAUCACACAUUCAUGGGCACGUACAAUCAACUGCAGAUCAUUGUUGUUGCAGAAUUCCAUUACCCGAUCCGGCCCAAAAGUCACCAGCCCUGG
rnacentral:misc_RNA from 1 species